AGUCGACGGAUCCUUCGGGGUUAGUGGCGGACGGGUGAGUAACACGUGGGAACGUGCCUUUUGGUUCGGAAUAGCUCCUGGAAACGGGUGGUAAUGCCGAAUGUGCCCUUCGGGGGAAAGAUUUAUCGCCAUUAGAGCGGCCCGCGUCUGAUUAGCUAGUUGGUGAGGUAAAGGCUCACCAAGGCGACGAUCAGUAGCUGGUCUGAGAGGAUGACCAGCCACAUUGGGACUGAGACACGGCCCAAACUCCUACGGGAGGCAGCAGUGGGGAAUCUUGCGCAAUGGGCGAAAGCCUGACGCAGCCAUGCCGCGUGAAUGAUGAAGGUCUUAGGAUUGUAAAAUUCUUUCACCGGGGACGAUAAUGACGGUACCCGGAGAAGAAGCCCCGGCUAACUUCGUGCCAGCAGCCGCGGUAAUACGAAGGGGGCUAGCGUUGCUCGGAAUUACUGGGCGUAAAGGGAGCGUAGGCGGACAUUUAAGUCAGGGGUGAAAUCCCAGAGCUCAACUCUGGAACUGCCUUUGAUACUGGGUGUCUUGAGUGUGAUAGAGGUAUGUGGAACUCCGAGUGUAGAGGUGAAAUUCGUAGAUAUUCGGAAGAACACCAGUGGCGAAGGCGACAUACUGGAUCAUUACUGACGCUGAGGCUCGAAAGCGUGGGGAGCAAACAGGAUUAGAUACCCUGGUAGUCCACGCCGUAAACGAUGAUUGCUAGUUGUUGGGAUGUUU
rnacentral:rRNA from 1 species